rnacentral:rRNA from 1 species
AUUGAACGCUGGCGGCAUGCCUUACACAUGCAAGUCGAACGGUAACAGGUUAAGCUGACGAGUGGCGAACGGGUGAGUAAUAUAUCGGAACGUGCCCAGUCGUGGGGGAUAACUGCUCGAAAGAGCAGCUAAUACCGCAUACGACCUGAGGGUGAAAGCGGGGGAUCGCAAGACCUCGCGCGAUUGGAGCGGCCGAUAUCAGAUUAGGUAGUUGGUGGGGUAAGGGCCUACCAAGCCUACGAUCUGUAGCUGGUCUGAGAGGACGUCCAGCCACACUGGGACGGAGACACGGCCCAGACUCCUACGGGAGGCAGCAGUGGGGAAUUUUGGACAAUGGACGCAAGUCUGAUCCAGCCAUGCCGCGUGCGGGAAGAAGGCCUUCGGGUUGUAAACCGCUUUUGUCAGGGAAGAAAAGGUUCUGGUUAAUACCUGGGACUCAUGACGGUACCUGAAGAAUAAGCACCGGCUAACUACGUGCCAGCAGCCGCCGUAACAC